AUUGAACGCUGGCGGCAUGCCUAACACAUGCAAGUCGAACGGCAGCACAGCAUGUAGCAAUACAUGUGGGUGGCGAGUGGCGGACGGGUGAGUAACGCGUGGGAAUCUGCCCUAUAGUGGGGGACAACCCGACGAAAGUCGGGCUAAUACCGCAUACGCCCUAAGGGGGAAAGGCUUCGGCCGCUAUUGGAUGAGCCCGCGUCGGAUUAGCUAGUUGGUGAGGUAAUGGCUCACCAAGGCGACGAUCCGUAGCUGGUCUGAGAGGACGAUCAGCCACACUGGGACUGAGACACGGCCCAGACUCCUACGGGAGGCAGCAGUGGGGAAUAUUGCACAAUGGGCGAAAGCCUGAUGCAGCAAUGCCGCGUGUGUGAAGAAGGCCUGCGGGUUGUAAAGCACUUUCGGUAGGGAAGAUUAUGACGGUACCUACAGAAGAAGCACCGGCUAACUCCGUG
rnacentral:rRNA from 1 species